UGAGGAAUAUUGGUCAAUGGGCGAGAGCCUGAACCAGCCAAGUAGCGUGCAGGAUGACGGCCCUAUGGGUUGUAAACUGCUUUUGAGGGGGAAUAAAGUGAGUGACGUGUCAUUCAUUGCAUGUACCCCUGGAAUAAGGACCGGCUAAUUCCGUGCCAGCAGCCGCGGUAAUACGGAAGGUCCGGGCGUUAUCCGGAUUUAUUGGGUUUAAAGGGAGCGUAGGCGGCCCGUUAAGCGUGCUGUGAAAUGCAGGGGCCCAACCUCUGGAUUGCAGCGUGUACUGGCGGGCUAGAGAGCGCACGACGCAGGCGGAAUUUGUGGUGUAGCGGUGAAAUGCUUAGAUAUCACGAAGAACCCCGAUUGCGAAGGCAGCUUGCGGGAGCGCGACUGACGCUGAAGCUCGAAAGUGCGGGAAUCAAACAGGAUUAGAUACCCUGGUAGUCCGCACGGUAAACGAUGGAUGCCCGUUCUGCGGCCUUCGGGCCACGGGACCAAGCGAAAGCAUUAAGCAUCCCACCUGGGGAGUACGCCGGCAACGGUG
rnacentral:rRNA from 1 species